rnacentral:rRNA from 1 species
AAACCAGCACCUCAAGUGGUCAGGAUGAUUAUUGGGCCUAAAGCAUCCGUAGCCGGCUCUGUAAGUUUUCGGUUAAAUCUGUACGCUCAACGUACAGGCUGCCGGAAAUACUGCAGAGCUAGGGAGUGGGAGAGGUAGACGGUACUCGGGAGGAAGGGGUAAAAUCCUUUGAUCUCUCGAUGACCACCUGUGGCGAAGGCGGUCUACCAGAACACGUCCGACGGUGAGGGAUGAAAGCUGGGGGAGCAAACCGGAUUAGAUACCCGAGUAGUCC